GAUGAACGCUGGUGGCGUGCCUAACACAUGCAAGUCGAGCGAUUCUCUUCGGAGAAGAGCGGCGGACGGGUGAGUAACGCGUGGGUAACCUGCCCUGUACACACGGAUAACAUACCGAAAGGUAUGCUAAUACGAGAUAACAUGCUUUUAUCGCAUGGUAGAAGUAUCAAAGCUUUUGCGGUACAGGAUGGACCCGCGUCUGAUUAGCUAGUUGGUGAGGUAACGGCUCACCAAGGCGACGAUCAGUAGCCGACCUGAGAGGGUGAUCGGCCACAUUGGAACUGAGACACGGUCCAAACUCCUACGGGAGGCAGCAGUGGGGAAUAUUGCACAAUGGGCGAAAGCCUGAUGCAGCAACGCCGCGUGAGAGAUGAAGGCCUUCGGGUCGUAAAGCUCUGUCCUCAAGGAAGAUAAUGACGGUACUUGAGGAGGAAGCCCCGGCUAACUACGUG
rnacentral:rRNA from 1 species